rnacentral:lncRNA from 1 species
CAGAGGUCAUCAUGCCAUGGCAGAAAGAACUAGAUACAUUCUCCCUGUUUUUAUAGGAGGUUUAGGCUAAGGCCAAGGUAGAGUCUUGUGACCAGUUUCCUCACAGCUCCCCCAUGGUAUAAAGCACAUUGUAUGACUGUCUGCCAAAGUCUGUAAGUUGAAAUGCUAUUUAAUUUGUCUCUGAGGUCUCAUUGUGGAGGAGUACAGGGCCUGGCUCAAUCUAAGAGUUUAGGGGAAUUAAGAAUUGCUGUGAAAACCAUAGAAAGGGAAAGGCUUUUGGCUGGGCAUUAGGCCUGGGACUAGACCUCAUGUUUUCUGCCUCAGCCUCACACCCGUUCCUCAGUUUUCCUCUUACAGUGUAAGGCAUCUCUCUAUACCUAAAACUACACUUCCCAACCUCCUUCCUCCUUCCUUUACAGUGGGGCAGCUGCCAGGCACUGCCAAGAGGAAGUAGAGAGGAAAUUGGAGAUCUGGGAGGGAUUCUCAGAGAAUGUGGGAACUACGGUCAACUUCCUAUUCCAUACCAAACAAGUGGGUUUCUGACUGGAACAAGGACCUGGUCCUCCCCAGGCUAGUAUGUCAUCCAAGAGAAUCCUGGCUUCACUCCAAUGAUUUCCCUCAUUGGAUUUCCUUCAUUUGCUUCAAAUAAGUGCAUACAGCAUGGCCAACAGGUGGCACUGUUGUCCCCACAGAGUUGUUGGGGAAGAGGAAAGAGACAAUCAGAGGAGGCAACCUAGACAGAGGGGAGAGGAAAUUGAAAAUGAGUCAAGAAAAGAGAAAUCUAAAACCUGUCACUUGGCUUGAAAUGACACCUUUCAAUAUCCAAAUUGGGGCUGGGUACCAGGGUGAGGACUCGGGGUGAACCAAGCUUGUUACUGGUGGCUGGGGCCUUCCAUCCAAACUUUCACGUCUACUCAGUUCUUUCUUGGAGACAGGAGUUAAGCAGACCUGGAGCCAAGUCUUGAUCCUGCCAGUCACUAUGUAGCUUGAUCUGGGUAAAAGAAUUAACUUCUAGAAAUUUCAUUUCAUAAUUUGUAAAUGGUAUGAUAUAUAGCACUUAUAAAAGGAAGCUAGAGGCUGGAGAGAUGGCUCGCUGGUUAAAAGCAUUUCCCGAUCUUCUGGAGAACCUGGUUUUGAUUCCCAGAACCCUCACAAACACCUUGUAUCUCUGACUCCACUCAACUCUUUGGGCAUCCGCACUCAUGUCCUCUCUCUCUCUCUCUCUCUCUCUCUCUCUCUCUCACACACACACACACACACACACACACACACACACACACACACUAAAAU